AGCAGCCGCGGUAAUUCCAGCUCCAAUAGCGUAUAUUAAAGUUGUUGCAGUUAAAAAGCUCGUAGUUGAACUUCGGGGUUUACCCAUUGGUCAGGCUUAAUUGUCUGUACUGGUGAGAUAAAUCUCUACCUUCUGAGGAACUUUCAUGCCAUUUAGUUGGUGUGAUAGGAAAUCGGGACUGUUACUUUGAAAAAAUUAGAGUGUUUAAAGCAGGCUAACGUCUGAAUACAUUAGCAUGGAAUAAUGAAUAGGACGGAUUGGUUCUAUUUCGUUGGUUUCUAGGAUCACCGUAAUGAUUAAUAGGGAUAGUUGGGGGCAUUAGUAUUCAAUUGUCAGAGGUGAAAUUCUUGGAUUUAUUGAAGACUAUCUACUGCGAAAGCAUUCGCCAAGGAUGUUUUCAUUAAUCAAGAACGAAAGUUAGGGGAUCGAAGACGAUCAGAUACCGUCGUAGUCUUAACCAUAAACUAUGCCGACUAGGGAUCGGAUGAUGUUAAUUUU
rnacentral:rRNA from 1 species